rnacentral:rRNA from 1 species
UACGUAGGGAGCAAGCGUUGUCCGGAAUUACUGGGUGUAAAGGGCGAGUAGGCGGGACAAAAAGUCAGAUGUGAAAACUAUGGGCUCAACCCAUAGCCUGCAUUUGAAACUUUUGUUCUUGAGGGAUGGAGAGGUAAGCGGAAUUCCUAGUGUAGCGGUGAAAUGCGUAGAUAUUAGGAGGAACACCAGUGGCGAAGGCGGCUUACUGGACAUCUACUGACGCUGAGGAGCGAAAGCGUGGGGAGCGAACAGGAUUAGAUACC